UGCGUAGGCGGGUAUGUAAGUCAGUGGUGAAAUCUUUGGGCUCAACCCGGAAACUGCCAUUGAUACUAUGUGCCUUGAAUGUCGUUGAGGUUUGCGGAAUAUGUCAUGUAGCGGUGAAAUGCUUAGAUAUGACAUAGAACGCCGAUUGCGAAGGCAGCAGGCUAAACGAAAUUGACGCUGAGGCACGAAAGCGUGGGGAUCAAACAGGAUUAGAUACCCUGGUAGUCCACGCCCUAAACUAUGAUUACUCGACAUACGCGAUACACAGUGUGUGUCUGAGCGAAAGCAUUAAGUAAUCCACCUGGGAAGUACGACCGCAAGGUUGAA
rnacentral:rRNA from 1 species